GAUGAACGCUAGCGGCGUGCCUAACACAUGCAAGUCGAACGUGAGAGGGUACUUGUAUCCUUGAAAGUGGCGGACGGGUGAGUAAGACGUAGGUGACCUGCCUUGAAGUGGGGGAUAACCAUUGGAAACGAUGGCUAAUACCGCAUAAGCUGGUGAUGAUGGGAAUCGUUAUCAGGAAAGCUUUAGUGCUUUGAGAGGGGCCUACGGCCGAUUAGCUAGUUGGUGAGGUAAAGGCUCACCAAGGCGAUGAUCGGUAGCUGGUCUGAGAGGACGAUCAGCCACACGGGAACUGAGACACGGUCCCGACUCCUACGGGGGGGCAGCAGUGAGGAAUAUUCGGCAAUGGGGGGCAACCCUGACCGAGCAACGCCGCGUGGAGGAUGACGGUUUUCGGAUUGUAAACUCCUUUUCUCAGGGAAGAGCGAGGACGGUACCUGGGGAAUAAGUCACGGCUAACUACGUG
rnacentral:rRNA from 1 species